rnacentral:rRNA from 1 species
GAUGAACGAUGGCGGCGUGCCUAAUACAUGCAAGUCGAGCGAACGGACGAGAAGCUUGCUUCUCUGAUGUUAGCGGCGGACGGGUGAGUAACACGUGGAUAACCUACCUAUAAGACUGGGAUAACUUCGGGAAACCGGAGCUAAUACCGGAUAAUAUUUUGAACCGCAUGGUUCAAAAGUGAAAGACGGUCUUGCUGUCACUUAUAGAUGGAUCCGCGCUGCAUUAGCUAGUUGAUAAGGUAACGGCUUACCAAGGCAACGAUGCAUAGCCGACCUGAGAGGGUGAUCGGCCACACUGGAACUGAGACACGGUCCAGACUCCUACGGGAGGCAGCAGUAGGGAAUCUUCCGCAAUGGGCGAAAGCCUGACGGAGCAACGCCGCGUGAGUGAUGAAGGUCUUCGGAUCGUAAAACUCUGUUAUUAGGGAAGAACAUAUGUGUAAGUAACUGUGCACAUCUUGACGGUACCUAAUCAGAAAGCCACGGCUAACUACGUG